UUGUUCCUCUUUUCUUUGUCAGUAGCAAUAUCUUGUUUUCCUUGGAAUGCUGCCAAUUAACCCUACUUCCAUUGUCACCCCUCUCAAGUUCUCCAUUGUCACAUUCUCAUUUCCUCAUUCGAACACCAUCUCUAUUCGUUGCAACGCCGCCUCUGAUCCAUCCUCCUCCUCCUCCUCUUUCAACUUCGUCGGUGCUGCUGAUGCCGCUUCCGCCGGUAGAAUUUCCAAAAAAUCUCUAGGCACUUCUCCGGUGGAGAAGCGAACGGCGAGUAACACCAAAAAUACGAAAAUUAAUGCCUGGGAAAAGCCUUGGUCGCGCAACCGAGAAAGCUACUUGGCCGAUGAUAGUGAACCUCUUCCUCUUCCCAUGACUUAUCCUGACACUUCUCCUGUUUCGCCCGACGAAAUUGACUGUCGCCUUCACUGUGAUCCCCAAAUACAGGAUUGCAAGGAAGUCGUCUAUGAGUGGACUGGGAAAUGUCGGAGUUGCCAAGGAACGGGAUUUGUAAGUUACUACAACAAACGAGGGAAGGAGACCAUCUGUAAAUGCAUACCUUGCCUUGGAAUCGUACCAGCUUAAACGAGAAAGUAAAGAAUGGAUACAAUUAGCUGACUGAAAAGAAGACAAUUGACACUUCUGUAUUUUCUUGAAGACUGGAACUCAUAUCCCUUUGAUGAAAGUGAAGACGAAAGGUUCAUUACAAUUUCUCUCUCAUGGUUUUUGUGAGUUUAAACUCUGUAAAAGGAUGGAUGUCAGUUAUAAAAUACCCCACAAGGUUAUGUGCAGAAGAUUACAGCACGCAAGGAUAUUGAUGUUAUGGAGGACUUAGAUAAUGGAAAACCACCUUGGCAGAAGUUAAAUAUCUAAUGCACUUUUUUGUCUAACAUUAGCAGACAUUGAUGAUAGCUUUGAAGAGGCUUUUUUUCACUACUGAAUCCUAGUAUUCUUUAAGGUGCAAAGAGGUUGCAAUACUGACAAUUUUUGGAGUCAGCUAAAAGAGAUAUGCCUCCAUACUACAUUCAUAGUGCAAGCAACAAGUUCUUGAAGAUCAAGGGCGGUGUUCUGGGAGGAAUGAUGAUUAUUUUUUAUAAGUAAAUGCUUAUUUCAUUUAUUCCCCUGAUUAUUUCAUAUACUUUUUAUACAUUGACGCUGGACUCGUGGUUGUUAAUAAAUCAUUGAUGUAUGAAAUCUGGUCUCCCUCUUGAAGGACCAGAAUGUGUUCCCCGUUUAUGGCCUCCUGACCAUUCUGUUGUGUAACAUUUGUCUUGCCUGUUCAUCAUUUUAAUAUUAACGAUAAGUGUGUUACUGAAA